GAGUUUGAUCAUGGCUCAGAUUGAACGCUGGCGGCAUGCCUUACACAUGCAAGUCGAACGGCAGCACGGGGGCAACCCUGGUGGCGAGUGGCGAACGGGUGAGUAAUGCAUCGGAACGUGCCCAGUAGUGGGGGAUAACUAGUCGAAAGAUUAGCUAAUACCGCAUACGACCUAAGGGUGAAAGCGGGGGAUUCGCAAGAACCUCGCGCUAUCGGAGCGGCCGAUGUCUGAUUAGCUAGUUGGCGGGGUAAAAGCCCACCAAGGCAACGAUCAGUAGCUGGUCUGAGAGGACGACCAGCCACACUGGGACUGAGACACGGCCCAGACUCCUACGGGAGGCAGCAGUGGGGAAUUUUGGACAAUGGGCGCAAGCCUGAUCCAGCCAUGCCGCGUGCGGGAAGAAGGCCUUCGGGUUGUAAACCGCUCUUGGCAGGAACGAAACGGCGCGAGCGAAUAUCUCGCGUUAAUGACGGUACCUGCAGAAUAAGCACCGGCUAACUACGUGCCAGCAGCCGCGGUAAUACGUAGGGUGCAAGCGUUAAUCGGAAUUACUGGGCGUAAAGCGUACGCAGGCGGCUUUGCAAGACAGGUGUGAAAUCCCCGGGCCUAACCUGGGAACUGCAUUUGUGACUGCAUGGCUAGAGUUUGUCAGAGGGGGGUGGAAUUCCACGUGUAGCAGUGAAAUGCGUAGAUAUGUGGAGGAACACCGAUGGCGAAGGCAGCCCC
rnacentral:rRNA from 1 species